rnacentral:lncRNA from 1 species
UUUUGUUCGUCUUUUCUCUUUUCUUCUUUCUACAAAGAUAGAAAGAUAUUGUGAAAUACUGUGUACUUCCUAUUGUAUAAGCAUAUUCUGUUGCUGGCUUGUUGAUUUCUCAAAGUUUUUCUUCUUGUAUACCAUCAAAUCAGAGAGACACAGUCCUCUAGAUUCUGCUUAUUAACUUGGUACCCAAUAUGAGGUGUCAGUAAGCUGCCUAUUAAGUGUGCCACUUUCUUUAAUGGUUUGGGAGAAAUGGAAUGUGAUUGGAUUCUUGGGUAAAUUAGAUCCCAUCUACAACUGGCCUUGUUUGAACAGACUUCAGUUACUCUGAUAGCUAUGAGAACACAAGGCCAAUGAAAGCAGGUCGGAGGUACGUCUCACCUGGAAGCUGGCUACACUUUAUUUUCCAGCAAGGAGCUAUUCCAGUAAAAAUAGCCACUGAGAGAAUGGUGCAGGCCUUCCGAGUGUUUGCUGAGAAUUAUUAAGUAUUUUACAAAGCUCAUUUUCAACAGGUUGUUCCUGCUGGAUAGGACUGGAAUCUAAUAGCUCUGUACUUUAGACGUAUGGGAGAGAACUCAAAAUGCAGUACAUGUUGGGGGAGAAGUAGAAACCUAGUACAAUGGAAAUUCCCCAGAAUCUAUGAGUGUUACCCUAAUAACGACUCCUAGUAAAGGAUAUAGAGCCUGAACCAGCCAUCUUCUGUAAUCAGCCAAGACUUCCAGUGGAGCAACUGUGAAAACAAUCCAACUAUAAAACAUUUGAUCUACAAUUUGUCCUGAUACAAUAGUGCUAGGGAUAAAUGUGGUGCAGAAUUUGUAGGAGGGAACAACAAAUGACUGGUCUAACUUGAUACCUACACAGUAAGAGGGAUCUCAUACCUGGCACUGCCUGGAUGGGUAGGAGCAAAUGGCUGGAUAUCCGAUAUCCCACAGACGAGGAUAAAACCAAACAUAACUGGC